CGGCGUGCUUACACAUGCAAGUCGAACGAUGAACCUCCUUCGGGAGGGGAUUAGUGGCGAACGGGUGAGUAACACGUGGGCAAUCUGCCCUGCACUCUGGGACAAGCCCUGGAAACGGGGUCUAAUACCGGAUACUGACCCGCUUGGGCAUCCAAGCGGUUCGAAAGCUCCGGCGGUGCAGGAUGAGCCCGCGGCCUAUCAGCUUGUUGGUGAGGUAAUGGCUCACCAAGGCGACGACGGGUAGCCGGCCUGAGAGGGCGACCGGCCACACUGGGACUGAGACACGGCCCAGACUCCUACGGGAGGCAGCAGUGGGGAAUAUUGCACAAUGGGCGAAAGCCUGAUGCAGCGACGCCGCGUGAGGGAUGACGGCCUUCGGGUUGUAAACCUCUUUCAGCAGGGAAGAAGCGAAAGUGACGGUACCUGCAGAAGAAGCGCCGGCUAACUACGUGCCAGCAGCCGCGGUAAUACGUAGGGCGCGAGCGUUGUCCGGAAUUAUUGGGCGUAAAGAGCUCGUAGGCGGCUUGUCACGUCGGUUGUGAAAGCCCGGGGCUUAACCCCGGGUCUGCAGUCGAUACGGGCAGGCUAGAGUUCGGUAGGGGAGAUCGGAAUUCCUGGUGUAGCGGUGAAAUGCGCAGAUAUCAGGAGGAACACCGGUGGCGAAGGCGGAUCUCUGGGCCGAUACUGACGCUGAGGAGCGAAAGCGUGGGGAGCGAACAGGAUUAGAUACCCUGGUAGUCCACGCCGUAAACGGUGGGCACUAGGUGUGGGCGACAUUCCACGUCGUCCGUGCCGCAGCU
rnacentral:rRNA from 1 species